rnacentral:rRNA from 1 species
AUUGAACGCUGGCGGCAGGCCUAACACAUGCAAGUCGAGCGGAUGAAGGGAGCUUGCUCCUGGAUUCAGCGGCGGACGGGUGAGUAAUGCCUAGGAAUCUGCCUGGUAGUGGGGGAUAACGUCUGGAAACGGGCGCUAAUACCGCAUACGUCCUGAGGGAGAAAGUGGGGGAUCUUCGGACCUCACGCUAUCAGAUGAGCCUAGGUCGGAUUAGCUAGUUGGUGGGGUAAAGGCCUACCAAGGCGACGAUCCGUAACUGGUCUGAGAGGAUGAUCAGUCACACUGGAACUGAGACACGGUCCAGACUCCUACGGGAGGCAGCAGUGGGGAAUAUUGGACAAUGGGCGAAAGCCUGAUCCAGCCAUGCCGCGUGUGCGAAGAAGGUCUUCGGAUUGUAAAGCACUUUAAGUUGGGAGGAAGGGCAGUAAGUUAAUACCUUGCUGUUUUGACGUUACCAACAGAAUAAGCACCGGCUAACUUCGUG